rnacentral:piRNA from 1 species
UCUGAUGUGGUACCAGGGCUCAUUGGCCUC